UACCCGCAGCACAAGUGGUGGUCAUUAUUAUUGGGCCUAAAGCGUCCGUAGCUGGCUUGUUAGAUGCCUGGGUAAAUCGAUGCGCUCAACGUAUCGACUUCUGGGUAGACCGGCAAGCUCGAGACCGGGAGAGGUGUAGGCUACUCGAAGGGUAGGGGUAAAAUCCUGUAAGCCUUCGGGGAGGACCAGUGGCGAAGGCGCUACACUAGAACGGCUCUGACAGUGAGGGACGAAGCCCUGGGGCGCAAACCGG
rnacentral:rRNA from 1 species